AGUGCCCUGGAGGUUUUGCUGGUGUGACUGCUGUAUCCCAUGUGUGUCAGUAGGUGGCAGAGUAGAGAGAGGCUGUGUCUAUGCUCAGUCUUUUGACCUAUGAACAUCUGAAUGAUUAGUAGACUAACAUU
ensembl:snoRNA LOC120099493 small nucleolar RNA SNORA17